rnacentral:rRNA from 1 species
CCCGACUGCUAUUUGGGUGAGGAUAAGCCAUGCGAGUUGAAUGGGAUACCUAAAUUUCCCAUGGCAAACUGCUCAGUAACACAUGAUCAACUUGCCCUAUAGAGAAAAAUAACCUCGGGAAACUGAGGAUAAUAUUUCAUAGUUGAAUAGGCUUGGAAAAGUUUUUCAAUAAAAGGGAUAAAAAAAUGGUUUUUAUCUGCUAUAGGAUAGGAUCGUGGACGAUUAUGGUUGUUGGUGAGAUAAUGGCUCACCAAGCCGAUAAUCGAUAGGGGCCGUGAGAGCGGGAGCCCCGAGAUGGGUACUGAGACAACGACCCAGGCCUUACGAGGCGCAGCAGGCGCGGAACCUCCGCAAUACACGAAAGUGUGAGGGGUUACCCAAAGUGUUCAAUUUGAACUGUGGUAGGUGAGUAAUGUCCCCUACUAGAAAGGAGAGGGCAAGGCUGUGCCAGCCGCCGCGGUAAAACCAGCUCUUCAAGUGGUCGGGAUAAUAUUGGGCUUAAAGUGUCCGUAGCCGGUUUAGUAAGUUCCUGGUAAAAUCGGGUAGCUUAACUAUCUGCAUGCUAGGAAUACUGCUAUACUAGAGGGCGGGAGAGGUCUGAGAUACUGCAGGGGUAGGGGUGAAAUCUUAUAAUCCUUGUAGGACCACCAGUGGCGAAGGCGUCAGACUGGAACGCGCCUGACGGUGAGGGACGAAAGCCAGGGGAGCGAACCGGAUUAGGUACCCGGGUAGUCCUGGCCGUAAACGAUGCAUACUAGGUGAUGGUACGGCCAUGAGCCGUAUCAGUGCCGUAGGGAAACCGUUAAGUGUGCCGCCUGGGAAGUACGGUCGCAAGGCUAAAACUUAAAGGAAUUGGCGGGGGAGCACCACAAGGGGUGAAGCCUGCGGUUCA